ACGAACGCUGGCGGCGUGGAUAAGACAUGCAAGUCGAACGAGAGAAUUGCUAGCUUGCUAAUAAUUCUCUAGUGGCGCACGGGUGAGUAACACGUGAGUAACCUGCCCCCGAGAGCGGGAUAGCCCUGGGAAACUGGGAUUAAUACCGCAUAGUAUCGAAAGAUUAAAGCAGCAAUGCGCUUGGGGAUGGGCUCGCGGCCUAUUAGUUAGUUGGUGAGGUAACGGCUCACCAAGGCGAUGACGGGUAGCCGGUCUGAGAGGAUGUCCGGCCACACUGGAACUGAGACACGGUCCAGACACCUACGGGUGGCAGCAGUCGAGAAUCAUUCACAAUGGGGGAAACCCUGAUGGUGCGACGCCGCGUGGGGGAAUGAAGGUCUUCGGAUUGUAAACCCCUGUCAUGUGGGAGCAAAUUAAAAAGAUAGUACCACAAGAGGAAGAGACGGCUAACUCUGUGCCAGCAGCCGCGGUAAUACAGAGGUCUCAAGCGUUGUUCGGAAUCACUGGGCGUAAAGCGUGCGUAGGCUGUUUCGUAAGUCGUGUGUGAAAGGCGCGGGCUCAACCCGCGGACGGCACAUGAUACUGCGAGACUAGAGUAAUGGAGGGGGAACCGGAAUUCUCGGUGUAGCAGUGAAGUGCGUAGAUAUCGAGAGGAACACUCGUGGCGAAGGCGGGUUCCUGGACAUUAACUGACGCUGAGGCACGAAGGCCAGGGGAGCGAAAGGGAUUAGAUACCCCUGUAGUCCUGGCAGUAAACGGUGCACGCUUGGUGUGCGGGGAAUCGACCCCCUGCGUGCCGGAGCUAACGCGUUAAGCGUGCCGCCUGGGGAGUACGGUCGCAAGAUUAAAACUCAAAGAAAUUGACGGGGACCCGCACAAGCGGUGGAGUAUGUGGCUUAAUUCGAUGCAACGCGAAGAACCUUACCUGGGCUUGACAUGUAAUGAACAACAUGUGAAAGCAUGCGACUCUUCGGAGGCGUUACACAGGUGCUGCAUGGCCGUCGUCAGCUCGUGUCGUGAGAUGUUUGGUUAAGUCCAGCAACGAGCGCAACCCCUGUUGCCAGUUACCAGCACGUGAAGGUGGGGACUCUGGCGAGACUGCCCAGAUCAACUGGGAGGAAGGUGGGGACGACGUCAGGUCAGUAUGGCCCUUAUGCCCAGGGCUGCACACGUACUACAAUGCCCAGUACAGAGGGGGCCGAAGCCGCGAGGCGGAGGAAAUCCUAAAAACUGGGCCCAGUUCGGACUGUAGGCUGCAACCCGCCUACACGAAGCCGGAAUCGCUAGUAAUGGCGCAUCAGCUACGGCGCCGUGAAUACGUUCCCGGGUCUUGUACACACCGCCCGUCACAUCAUGGAAGCCGGUCGCACCCGAAGUAUCUGAAGCCAACCGCAAGGAGGCAGGGUCCUAAGGUGAGACUGGUAACUGGGAUG
rnacentral:rRNA from 1 species